UGUUCAGGGGUAAACCUGUGGUUCCCGAAAGUUCGAACGGGGAGAUUCAAUUGCCUCGCCGGUUAUGACCAUUUAACAGUGAUGUGUUUAUGAUAUAUAUUUGAGACAUUAUAUGGCGGUUGCGGGUUUAUUCUCGUAGCUGUUUCUGUAUAGUGCUCCACUGUUUUAUGCAUAUAUAGUUUAUAGCCGGAGGCGUGCACUUCUCCCCUUGUAGGACGUCGUGACCCAUUGGAUUAUGUUGUCUAAGGCUUAUAAUGGAGACCGUGGCAUUAAGUUUCGGCUUUAAUGACCCGGACUUAUAAUGUCCCGACAUCUAUCCGAUGGUAUAAUUAUGAUGAUAGAUCGCUAUAAAUGUGAUAUGAGCGUUCAGAUCCAUAACAAAUUCUUUUUAUGGGAAAUAGUGGAAAUCGGAUUUAAUGCCGAUUCUACACAUAUAGUAUUGAUAGUUGUGGUAUUCUCGAACCGUUCUUUAUCAUCAGUCAACGGCGUUUAUGUUUUGGGUAAUUACAGGACCCGUCUUGAAACACGGACCAAGGAGUCUAGCAUGUGCGCAAGUCAUUGGGACUUUGUGAAACCUAAAGGCGUAAUGAAAGUGAAAUAUUUGUGAAUUUUCGUAAUUCACUGAAUUUAAGGGAAGAUGGGUAACGUUUUUUAUGUUACCUCGCAUUCCCGGGGCGUCGCGUACUUAUUGCAAGUUGCGGCGCACCAAGAGCGUACACGCUGGGACCCGAAAGAUGGUGAACUAUGCCUGGUCAGGAUGAAGUCAGGGGAAACCCUGAUGGAGGUCCGUAGCGAUUCUGACGUGCAAAUYGAUCGUAUG
rnacentral:rRNA from 1 species